rnacentral:rRNA from 1 species
AUUGAACGCUGGCGGCAUGCCUUACACAUGCAAGUCGAACGGCAGCGGACCUUCGGGUGCCGGCGAGUGGCGAACGGGUGAGUAAUGCAUCGGAACGUACCCUUCAGUGGGGGAUAACGUAGCGAAAGUUACGCUAAUACCGCAUAUUCUGUGAGCAGGAAAGCAGGGGAUCGCAAGACCUUGCGCUGAUUGAGCGGCCGAUGUCAGAUUAGCUAGUUGGUGAGGUAAAGGCUCACCAAGGCGACGAUCUGUAGCGGGUCUGAGAGGAUGAUCCGCCACACUUGAACUGAGACACGGUCCAGACUCCUACGGGAGGCAGCAGUGGGGAAUUUUGGACAAUGGGGGCAACCCUGAUUCAGCCAUGCCGCGUGAGUGAAGAAGGCCUUCGGGUUGUAAAGCUCUUUCGGCCGGGAAGAAAUCGCACGGGCUAAUACCCUGUGUGGAUGACGGUACCGGAAUAAGAAGCACCGGCUAACUACGUGCCAGCCGCCGCAGUAACAC